AGUGAACGCUGGCGGUAGGCCUAACACAUGCAAGUCGAACGGCAGCACAGUAAGAGCUUGCUCUUACGGGUGGCGAGUGGCGGACGGGUGAGGUAUACAUCGGAAUCUACUUUUUCGUGGGGGAUAACGUAGGGAAACUUACGCUAAUACCGCAUACGACCUACGGGUGAAAGCAGGGGAUCUUCUGACCUUGCGCGAUUGAAUGAGCCGAUGUCGGAUUAGCUAGUUGGCGGGGUAAAGGCCCACCAAGGCGACGAUCCGUAGCUGGUCUGAGAGGAUGAUCAGCCACACUGGAACUGAGACACGGUCCAGACUCCUACGGGAGGCAGCAGUGGGGAAUAUUGGACAAAGGGGGCAAGCCUGAUCCAGCCAUACCGCGUGGGUGAAGAAGGCCUUCGGGUUGUAAAGCCCUUUUGUUGGGAAAGAAAAGCAGCAGGUUAAUACCCCGCUGUUCUGACGGUACCCAAAGAAUAAGCACCGGCUAACUUCGUG
rnacentral:rRNA from 1 species